rnacentral:sRNA from 1 species
AAAACUCUUUUAAAGAGUCUUAUUUCAUUUACUUCUUCAUAUAAGAAGCAUGCAUACAAGUCCGUCAUUUUUUUUUUCAUAUAUAUUUUCUUCAUUAUUACAUUUGUGCUUGAAGAAAAAUAUUCUACUGGUCAAAUCGAAAUUGAAUCUUAUGUGGUUGGGAGUCUUCAUAACUACAUACUUAGGUCACUCAAAUUUGCACUUACGGGUAAUUGGAAAGUUAUUUAAAUGGAGAAGUUAUUUGCAUUUCAAGUUGAUAUUUUUUCAAUACCAAUUUAAGUGCUUUUAAACAUGAAAUUGAUUAACAAACCUACCUGGUAAUCAUGGUCCUCGAUGGUCAAUAUUUAAAUACUGGUAUUCACCUACUACGGUACAUGAUGUACCCAGUACCUGAAUUUGUUAACCUAGUAAUCUUUUUUUUUAAAGAAAUGAAUGAGUGGGGUAAGCUUAUUUUGAUAAUGAAAAAAAAAUAAGAAAAGGCAAUGGUACUAUAUUGGGAGAAUAUAUGUCCACUGAUUGACUUUUAAUGAAUUACACUUGUACAUGUAGAUCAAUGUCCAGUGUUAUUUUCCAAUUCCUGUAAUGCAUCUUUAUGCUGAAUGUACAUGUAUCUCAUUAGCCAAUAAAAAACAGUGACUG